rnacentral:rRNA from 1 species
AUUGCACGCUGGCGGCAGGCCUAACACAUGCAAGUCGAACGAGUGGCGGACGGGUGAGUAAUGUCUGGGAAACUGCCUGCUGGAGGGGGAUAACUACUGGAAACGGUAGCUAAUACCGCAUACCAUCGGAUGUGCCCCGAUGGGAUUAGCUGGUAGGUGGGGUAAAGGCUCACCUGGGCGACGAUCCCUAGCUGGUCUGAGAGGAUGACCAGCCACACUGGAACUGUGACACGGUCCAGACUCCUACGGGAGGCAUCAGUGGGGAAUAUUGCACAAUGGGCGCAAGCCUGAUGCAGCCAUGCCGCGUGUAUGAAGAAGGCCUUCGGGUUGUAAAGUACUUUCAGCGGGGAGGCGUUACCCGCAGAAGAAGCACCGGCUAACUCCGUGCCAGCAGCCGCGGUAAUAC